UUAUGCUUUUUGUUUCUGGAUCUAUUCCAGCGUUUAGCUAACGCGCUUUGUGCCAAAAACAGAGCACAAACGUCACGCCCACUUUCAGUUACUGCCGCCCCCGAAGUGCUGCUUUUUGAGCAUUUUGCAAUAGCAACAACUCCAACGAACGGCAUGUGGAAUGCCUGAGAAAGUUGCUUGGUAAAACAACCCAAGGGGAAAGCAGGAGCAGCAGCAGCUACAGCAGCUUUCCAAAGCAGUGUCUGAGCAAGUAACGCGCACAGAUGUAGCAUAAAUACACAUUGUACUCGGAGCACAACAAAGGCGCCAUGGCUGACGCGAAAGGCGAGCAGCGAACGGCGAAUAGCGAACAGCGUCUAAAGUUGAUUUCUUAAUGUUUAGCCAGCAACUUUUGCUGUUUGUCUUCCCGCUGCAAAAUGGCAACAGUAGCAAACGACGAUAUGGCAAACACAAACACACACAGUCGCAGCACACAUACAAACUUAUCCGCAAAGACAGUCAUGCUCUGACACUCGCACUCACACUAAGAGUUACACUCUCUCCCACACUUGCUCACUUGUACACUUCAGCUCAUCUCACAUGCGUGUAGACAAGUCAAACUUGACUCAAAAGCAACGAAAUGCGAGCAUUGGCAUCAAACUUGCCCAAGGCAAUUUACACUGAAGCUGUUUAUUUUGAAACACUUGCCAGGACAUCGCAAGCGCUGAAUUCCAUCUCACAAACUCUGGGACACAGGACGCGGCCAAUACAAAAAGGCAAAAGGCAAUGAGCUAAUAUUUGUACAUUGCUGGGGCUCAAAAUGGCGCCGAUAUAUUCGAAGCGGAUGCGGAAAUGUGCAUUAUUUGGUAUUUCUCUGUUUGUCCGUCCCACACACACACACUCACUUUACCCCACACUUAUGUGUGUGUCUUCAUUGUAUGUGAUGUCACGACUUCUCAUUCAAUUUGACAUGCCGCAUUUUCAAGUUAAUUAAAUUUUAUUUUUGUGGGCUUUUCAUGGAAUGGAAUGGAGGUAAAAUUGCUCUUGAUCAGCGUCAAUUAACAAAUCAUUUCCUCUGUUUGUAUUUCAAGAACUAAGCUAGAACUGUUCGUAUGAAUUUGUUACAGUACUCAUUGGUGUGACAAUUACAUAUUUCCGACUUCAUUAAGUAGAUGUAUAACAUAUAAUAGUGUUGAGUAAUUCACGAACGAUUUAAAUAAACUAAUCAGAAAAAUGAAUGAACUUAAUAAGUUAACCAUCUUUUUUUGUUUCUUCAUUUGUUCAUGUUUGCUUUUCAGUUCAUUCUUGUUCCACUAUUCACUUUAUUACGUACUUGUUCACAUAUAGGUUUUUGAUUAUUAGUUAUUUUAGUGGUUGGUUGUUUUAGGGUGACGAAUUUAUAACAAUAAA